AAUUAAUAUCGUGUUUCUUUAAACUUAGACGCGUAAUUUUGAAAAAAUCCUUCAACAAGAUAAAGCCAACAAAAAUAUCGAAGGAAGAGAUCGCAAUUCCAGUGCAAACAAUCUCUAUCCAGCUUCGUCGUGUUCCACCAGAGCAAAAUGCAAACUGACGAUCAACAUUAAUUUAAAGACGAUUAAUUUUUUAAUUUACGGAGAACUUUCGUCCAGUAAUUUUUUUUAUUUGUGUACAUCUUUAUUUUAGAACCCAUGACGUACCAUAGGCGAUACGGUACACUGAUUGACGAAAUGAUGGAAAAUUAUAUAAAAUAAAUAUUCCCUAAAGCAUAAACAUAGUAUAUACAAAGCAAUACUUACAAAUAAAUCCAACUCUCAUGAACGAAAGUAUUUUAUAAGCCCGAAAGAUCUGUCUCUAGGUUUCUAUUCAUCUUUAACUGUACUCAGUAUCUAUAGAUUAUAUGCUCGUAAAUUAGAGUUCAAUGAAACAAUCAAACGGUAAACGGCCAUUGCAAUUCUCCUUGACACGUCGAUAAAUAUCCAUCACGCAGCUGUUCACCGUAUGUCAAAACGCAACGAAAGGAACGCAGUAUUAGUCUCUUGAUUGUAAGCAAUGGAGGAGGGAGUCUCGCAGCUCGCAACUGUCCUGCUGCACCGAAAACGAGGAGUGGAAAGGCGGGCGAGACGGCCAGGCAAGCAACGAAAGGAAAGACAAACGGAACAGAUUGGUUUCCGGUAGCGCAGCUACGCGACGAGGCAGCAGCUGCGCGAGGUCGGCCGUUUCGAAGCCCCGGGUUUGUCACAGGAGGCAGGAAACGCUCGCACCCGUUAAUAACCCAAUUAAAACGGACAGGAAACCCUGGUAGCCCCGGUACCGUCGGUCUGGACGAUGCCACACGAUGCGUCGACAGCGUUACUGUUAUCGUCGCUAUUACUGCCACUACAGGUGUUACUGUAUCGAAAGGGGACGCGGUAGAAGUCUCGUUCAUGGAAUUCGUAUUAAAUGAUUGUUCUAUUGCCAACGAUGCUCUUCAAAGUUCAUGAGUAUUGGGACAUCUGCUAGUUUCAUGUAAAACGUGGUAGUUUAACGGGAAUUAUCAAGUAAACGCACGAUUAAUCAGAAUUCGUCAUGAAAAAUUGCGAUAUAAAAUAUUAUAGAAUAUUAAAUCGUGUUGAAGAAUUGAGAGAAAUUCAAAGAAUGUUUUAUAGCGAGUGUAGAAUGGAAUAACAACAAAACAGAAUGACAAAUAAAACAAUGAAUGAUACAUUUGAUCAAAACUGAUUGAUUGAAAAAUACGACCGGUGCGCGAGACGGAAAAAUUAGAGAUUAAUUUUAUUAUAUUAAAUUGAUAAAUUGUUAUACUGAAUUAUUAUGUAUUGAAUGUGUAGAUUCUUUCGAGUCUAAAAUAUCAUUCAACCGUUUCGCUUCAUGUAUGAUACAAAUGAUCUUUUUUAAAUAUUCAGAGUUGAAAAUAUCAAUUUGUCGGAUGAUAUCUACGUAAUCUACAUUUAACAAAAUUUACAUAUAAGAAAGAUUUGUCAAAAAAAAUAUGUCCGUAUUUCACCAAAUAUAGUAUGUAUAUUAUUUCUGC